rnacentral:tRNA from 2 species
GCGCCCGUAGCUCAACGGAUAGAGUAGCGGUCUUCGGAACCGCUAAUACAGGUUCGAAUCCUGUCGGGCGCA